GCAAUGGCUGCGUACUAGUGCUGCGUUGCAGGCUGCAUAUUUCAUGCUACAUACUUCCUGCUUUGGGCUGCAUACUCCAUACGCUGCGCUGCAUGCUCCAUGCUGCAUAUCCCAUGCUCUGUGCCUCAGCGGGCGCUGCUGUUUUGUUUCUGUUUUGUUUUUAUUAUUUUGUUUCCUACUGUUUCGUUUCCUGCGUGUGUGUGCUGAAACGCGACUGCGCGUUGUCUUUAAACAAGGCUGAAGCGGCUCUGUAAUGAGUGCUUGAAAGUUCUUUCUGUCUAAUUUUGUUUUCAGCAGGGUUUCCCUGUUAUGUAAACUUUCUUUUCUUUGGUUAAUAUAUUAGUCAUUUAACUUUAUUUGUAUUUUGGUGCUAUAACUCAUUUGAUCUGAAUCCAAUUGUUUAUUUAAUUUCUUUUCUUUCUUUUUACUUAUACUAUUAUUCAUAUUAUUUGGUUGUGAAGCCAAGGGCAUUUUGUUUAAAGUUUUGGGUUUUGUCUAUUUUGAUUUGUGCAGACUCAUAGACUGGGCAUUGCAUUAUUUCAUACACAUGCAUAUAUUGGAAGCUGUGUAAUGUUUUGUGACUUACUUAAUUUAGUCUAGUAAACAAAAAUCUCUAUUUUGUGCAAUUUGGUCUUUUGAGCUGCACUACAAGUUUAUUGUUUUGUUAUUUCUUUAUUAUUUUUCUUCGUAAACUUUCUCUGCUUGCCGCGCUCAUUGCAGACACAGCGCUUGCAUUCCGUGCGAUUAUUGUUUAUUUUAAUACCUCUCUUUGUUUUUGGCAGGAUCUGGGCGCUGGGUGCAGACGAGUGGCUCUAUUGUGGUGGUGGUGUGUCCUUCACCGUGUGUUGUGCUUCUCACUGACACCAGUCUGUGUGUGUGUGCUAUGUUCACCUGAUUGUAGUGAUUAAAUUUGGCAUAUGAGACUGCCCCAGUUGAACAGCAGCGUGGUGCUGAUUGGUGACGAUUUCUCCGUGGUGGAUCUGGGCGCUGGGUGCAGACGAGUGGCUCUAUUGUGGUGGUGGUGUGUCCUUCACCGUGUGUUGUGCUUCUCACUGACACCAGUCUGUGUGUGUGUGCUAUGUUCACCUGAUUGUAGUGAUUAAAUUUGGCAUAUGAGACUGCCCCAGUUGGUAAGACCCAGCUCCUUGCCCACAAAAGAAGUGUUAUGUGUAAUGAGUGGCCAUAUUUUUAAUAUUUGUACAACUCAAUAAAAAUAUUUUUGUACCAUU